CAGGGAGACAACAAAAUGUUUAAUAUUAAUUUUGUCACCUUAGGUCGAUCGGUAUCUCACGUUUUUAAUUUAUUAAGAAUUUCAUUUCCUAAGUUUUUCUAGGUCACACCCACUACUUUUUCCUGGGCCAUUAGCUCAGGUGGUUAGAGCGCACCCCUGAUAAGGGUGAGGUCCCUGGUUCAAGUCCAGGAUGGCCCAUAUCUCUAUGUUGGGGGUAUAGCUCAGUUGGUAGAGCGCCUGCUUUGCAAGCAGGAUGUCAGCGGUUCGAGUCCGCUUACCUCCACUGAUCACCACCUCUUCCAUAAUCUAUAGAAAGGGAAAUGUUUUGAGUUGUGAUCAAAAUCUGAACGAAUCUAGCUUCCUAAUGUAUUCAUUAAGAUGCUGGACUCAUUGAAUUUACUUCAUUGUUUUCAGAGAACCUUGACAACUGCAUAGAUUUUUUUAAAGACAAUAAGCAUCUUUAAUGAUGCAGAUUUAUUAUUUGUGCGAAUGCAUUAAUAACAAUUCUAUUAAGCUGAUGCUUCA
rnacentral:tRNA from 1 species